GAACGCUGGCGGCAGGCUUAACACAUGCAAGUCGAACGAAGUUAGGAAGCUUGCUUCUGAUACUUAGUGGCGGACGGGUGAGUAAUGCUUAGGAAUCUGCCUAGUAGUGGGGGAUAACUUGGGGAAACCCAAGCUAAUACCGCAUACGACCUACGGGUGAAAGGGGGCUUUUAGCUCUCGCUAUUAGAUGAGCCUAAGUCGGAUUAGCUGGUUGGUGGGGUAAAGGCCUACCAAGGCGACGAUCUGUAGCUGGUCUGAGAGGAUGAUCAGCCACACUGGGACUGAGACACGGCCCAGACUCCUACGGGAGGCAGCAGUGGGGAAUAUUGGACAAUGGGCGAAAGCCUGAUCCAGCCAUGCCGCGUGUGUGAAGAAGGCCUUUUGGUUGUAAAGCACUUUAAGUGGGGAGGAAAAGCUUAUGGUUAAUACCCAUAAGCCCUGACGUUACCCACAGAAUAAGCACCGGCUAACUCUGUGCCAGCAGCCGCGGUAAUACAGAGGGUGCAAGCGUUAAUCGGAAUUACUGGGCGUAAAGCGCGCGUAGGUGGUUAUUUAAGUCAGAUGUGAAAGCCCCGGGCUUAACCUGGGAACUGCAUCUGAUACUGGAUAACUAGAGUAGGUGAGAGGGGAGUAGAAUUCCAGGUGUAGCGGUGAAAUGCGUAGAGAUCUGGAGGAAUACCGAUGGCGAAGGCAGCUCCCUGGCAUCAUACUGACACUGAGGUGCGAAAGCGUGGGUAGCAAACAGGAUUAGAUACCCUGGUAGUCCACGCCGUAAACGAUGUCUACCAGUCGUUGGGUCUUUUAAAGACUUAGUGACGCAGUUAACGCAAUAAGUAGACCGCCUGGGGAGUACGGCCGCAAGGUUAAAACUCAAAUGAAUUGA
rnacentral:rRNA from 1 species